rnacentral:rRNA from 1 species
UUAAGCAUAUUACUAAGCGGAGGAAAAGAAACCAACGGGGAUGCCUAUAGUAACUGCGAGUGAAAUAGGCAAGCCCAGCGCUGAAUCCGACUGCUGGCAACGGUGGUUGGAGUUGUAGCGUGAAGGUGGUCAUGAUCCGCGCGGCUGGCUGGCGUAAGUUCUCCUGAGUGAGGCUCCAUGCUAGGAAGGGUGCAAGCCCCGUGUCGCGGGCAGCUUGCGCGGAUUUCGAUUACCAGAGAGUCGCCUUGUUUGCGAGUACAAGGUGAAGUCGGUGGUAAACGCCAUCGAAGGCUAAAUAUGACCACGAGUCCGAUAGCGAACAAGUACAGUGAUGGAAAAUUGAAAAGAACUUUGAAGAGAGAGUGAAACAGUGCGUGAAACCGCUCAGAGGCAAGCAGAUGGGGCCUCGAAGGCAGAGCAGCGAAUUCAGUCGGUGACUUGUAGCGCUGGCCGGUCGUGAGAUUGCAAAACUCUGGCCGGUCGGGCAGUUGCGGUCGCCGAUGCACUUUCGCUGUUUGUACGCCUCCGCCGUUGACGUUUGUUUAGCAUCCGCUUAGCCGGCAUGCGGAGCCUUUCUCCUGCAAGGGAGAAGGUGUCUCGCGGCUGGUAGUGGCGCGUUUGCCCGUCAACCGGUCAUGUUGAGUGUGUGCCAGCGUAAGCGUUGGAACCUGUGCUCUGGCUGCGGUGCAGUGGGUGACGAUCGCAAGAUUCGGCCCUGCUGUCCGUGGUAGAAUCGCAAAGUUCUUCAACGUGGCACAUUACCGAUUCGGAGGUGAGUAGACGGCUGCCCAUCUAACCCGUCUUGAAACACGGGAACCA